rnacentral:rRNA from 1 species
GAUGAACGCUGGCGGCGUGCCUAAUACAUGCAAGUCGAGCGAAUGGAUUAAGAGCUUGCUCUUAUGAAGUUAGCGGCGGACGGGUGAGUAACACGUGGGUAACCUGCCCAUAAGACUGGGAUAACUCCGGGAAACCGGGGCUAAUACCGGAUAACAUUUUGAACCGCAUGGUUCGAAAUUGAAAGGCGGCUUCGGCUGUCACUUAUGGAUGGACCCGCGUCGCAUUAGCUAGUUGGUGAGGUAACGGCUCACCAAGGCAACGAUGCGUAGCCGGCCUGAGAGGGUGAUGGGCCAAACUGGGACUGAGACACGGCCCAGACUCCUACGGGAGGCAGCAGUAGGGAAUCUUCCGCAAUGGACGAAAGUCUGACGGAGCAACGCCGCGUGAGUGAUGAAGGCUUUCGGGUCGUAAAACUCUGUUGUUAGGGAAGAACAAGUGCUAGUUGAAUAAGCUGGCACCUUGACGGUACCUAACCAGAAAGCCACGGCUAACUACGUGCCAGCCGCCGCAGUAA